rnacentral:lncRNA from 1 species
GGAGACCACCCUGCUGUGGGUACUGUGCACCACCCACAUGCCCCUUCCAGAGACAGGCUGAGGCCAGAAAAGUCCCUGAAGGACUUGUAAAGGAGAGCCAAGACAUCAGAGUAUGCAAGGGCAGAGAGGACAAGCAGCAAGCCCGGGGCCAGGGGACCUGUUGGAGCUGUGGAUCAUUUGCCAAAUCAUUAAAGGAAAGAAUGAAGAGAAUGGGAUGACCAGCAACUAAAAACUGCGUUUUUCUUAACAAAUUUAUGUGAUUAUAAUAUUAUUUUGAAGAAAAUCAUUUUAGAAAGAAAGAAAAAUUGGAUGAGAUUGCUUUUGAGGUCAGAUUCUCGACUCAGUUACACCAGUAGCUCUCUGAUCUACUGUAGCAAUUCAAGCCAUCAUGUUCACAUUUUCCAUCAAAUAAGUGGACAGAACUCUGAUGGCAGCUUGUCUGGUGACAGACUCUGUAUGUGCACCCAGUGCUUACUUGCCAAAAUACAAACCAUCAACAUUUUCCCUGCUUGCACUCCCAGAUCAGGACUCUGAAAGAAUGUUGUGCAGGCAGGAUUGCAGUGCUUCUUGCACCACCUUACAUCAACAUCCACUUCCACCUCCUUUUACACCAGCAGAAGUUCAGAAGCCAGAUCCUGACUGGCUCCCCUGCUGCAUGGUUGUAAAUUCUGAUCAUCAUCCUCAGCCAUCUGUGGGAAUACAGACACAUUAAUAUAACACUGACCUGCCCAGCUCACUCUACAAGUGCUUGGCCAAUACUGGAAUAUUAAUAGUUGGAGUUGUAUGGAAAAGUACAGUUUGUCUCCCUUUCUCUGAGGUCUCUGUCCCGUAUUGUGCCUCCAGGGAAUAAAGAGCUGCUUCAAGGAAGGCAUUUUUUUGUGUGCUGCAAGGAUGCUGUGUCCGUGGAGGCACUGACUCAGGGGGAGAUCCUGGCAAGAAGAAAGGCAUUUCACACUGCCCUGGGAACCACGAGUCAACCUGGGGAUAUCCUGAUUUUCUGUGUCAGGAGGAGCACUAAGGAAGACACUGCUGCUGACCACAAACACUGACUGCCAAGCCUAAGGAUGGCUGAUUUGUGGGAUAGCUGUCAUAUUUUUGUCUGAGGCUCCAAAAAGAAAAUUUGAAGGCUGAGAUAUUUAAAGAGAGUGACUACUCAACCUGAGGAGAAUUCCCACCUGGCUAUGACAGGAGCUACUGCUUGGGAAAUGUGCUGCCAGGUCCAUGAGCGAGGUCACAAGGGUAAAUUUCAAUGUACCACAGAGAAACACACUGCAUGGGCUUGACCCUGCUCCCUCUUUCCCAUGGAAAAUAGCUCUGGGCUUAUGUCUGUACCUCCCAUGGAAAUGCUUCCAGAAAUGCUCGGCUCAGUCUUUCAGGAUCUUGGAAAGUCUCUGAAUUGCUGGGAGGCAUCACCGCACGCUCUUGCAUGGCCAUGCAGAUGGAUCCAGCUGUGUAGCCAAGGGAUGAGGCCAGGAAUGCAUCCCUGGGGGUGCAGUGGGGAUACACCUGCAGGGUGCACACAGGAAUGCAUCCCUGGCUUUUGACCCAAACCUUUUGUCAAGAGCUGGAACAGGCUGCCCAGGGAAGAGGUGGAGUCACCAUCCCUAGAAAUGUUCAAAACCCUUGGCAGAGUCCAGUAAAUGGUUGGACUUGAUGAUCUUAGAGGUCUUUUCCAACUUAAUGAUUCUGUGAUUCUCAGCUGGAAUCCUACAUAAGCAUUAAUCAUCACGGGGCUGAUUUUUCGACUGUGACAAAUUGCAAAAGAACAGCAUGAAGCUCACUGUGAUGACACCUCUGUGCCUCAGUAAAUCACAUCGGGCUUUUCCAAGUGCUCAGCAGCCAUUCCCCACCCAAGAAUCUGUGCUAGAGAGGGAAAACUCAUCAGCAAGGUGGGAUUGUCACCGACUGCUCUGUCCAGGUCUGGAAGUGAACAACUGGAAACUCCAGACCCAGUGCUGGAAACUGGGUAAGAACUGGGAGAGCAGCCCAGGACUGGCAGGCGGAACCUCUGAGCAGAGGAACAGUGACAGAUUUGAUCUCCUGGCUGGAUAAGGGAGAGAGGGGGUGGCCAGGCAGAUCUAUUGAGCAUUUUAUGCCACUGAGGCCAAAGGAAUUAGUGUGGGGGUUGGGAGGAAAAAGCUUGACUCAAGCUUUCACAGAUAUAUAUCCACACAAUUGAGGUCAGGGGCUUAUGGCAGUCAGUUCUAUUUCUAUUUGUUUAUUUAUUUGUUUUCCUAAUGGCUUGGUUUCAGUGCUGGAUGGCUGCAUUUGAGCCCUGCAAGCUGCUGAUUUUGCAAUCCUUUCUCUCUGGUGAAAGUGUUUUGUUUAUAUUACCAGGCAUGUGUUAUUUCAAUUUUUGUUUAUAUCUCCUGUAUCAAUCAGUGAAACAGUCUCAAGAAACAAGGCCAGGCCAAGGAGAAACACACAGGUUUUGUUUGGACUGAGAUAUAACAUUCCUGAAAAUUGGCUGCACCUCAGAAAAACUCUGCAAAUAAUGGUAUUUACUGCUCCCCUCCUUGCAAACAGAGCUGAAACCCAGGCUUUUCCAACGAGUGACUUGAUAGGGAAGGCAGAGCUGAUUAACCCCUGACUUCCCUCACUUUAUUAGCUCUUUGGGUGGUAAAAAAGAUCCUUUUCUGGGCAAGCCUCAGGAUGGACUUGGCCACCCUUUUAGUCUUUUUCGUCCGUGCUGAAGGCUGGUGCUCAGUACCUUGCUAACAGGGCAGGAGCAUCCAUAGAAGAAACCAGAUCUGUGAACAGAUCUGUGUACAGCCAUUCCUAACCUCUCCCCUGCCUACCACGGGAAAAAAUUCUGUGCACAGGCAGUGGGAUCAGACCCCUGCACGACAGGGGCUCAGCCCCAGCCCCGAGCCCUGGGCUGAUGCUGAGCACCAGGAUGGCCAAGCCUGGCAGAUGGGCUUGUCACCCUCAGCUGCUGGGGCUGGUAGGAAAUCCCUGGGCUUAUCAGACCCUGCAGAGGCUCUCCCUGGCUGGCAGGGUUGUGAUCUGAUCUGUAGGGUCACUGCCACUGAGGACCCAAGCUGUAUUUUCACUUUGGACUUGAGGUUUUUUCGCCUACUUGAAUUAAAACAAGAGAUUCUUCCAAAAAGCAAACAUGGAGUGGGGGAAAAGACUGCCAGCUUACAAUUGCUGGAUAGGUCAAAGAAAUGGGUUUCCUAACAGGGAUGUGACAGCUCAAGGAUUUACAGAUGAAAGCUUAAGGACACGUGCAUAUAUUUGUGCCUGAGAUGAAUGUAAAAGAACAUAAAUACCAGUUAAAAUGUAUUCUAUGAAAAAAACCCAACACACUCGUACUCCAAUCAUUACAAUUCAAACAAAGCAAUUGUCAAUUCCCUAGCAAUUUACAUUUAAAUGCACAAUAUAAUUCUCAUGCUAAAUUAUCUAUUUCCAGUGUAGGCCUUACUCAGAGAGUGCUGGAGGGGGGAGAGGAAGGCCAUAGCUGCCUUUGUGGAUAGCCACUGGUCUGGGGGAGCUGUGCUGUGCCGCUGAGCUGAGUGACCUAUUUUUCUGAUUUCCCUCAAACAGGGACACUCACUUUUUAGCAGAGAAACCCAGAAAUGUUUCACCUCAAAAGCAGAGGAUAUGGGUAGAUCUGGAAAAACAGGAUCAAGAUCAAAAUGUUCGGGGGUAGCAGGGCCUUAAUAUGACAUUUUUAGACACAAGCAGGUCCCUCAUCAGACAGAGAGGUCUUGUCCUAUUCCAUGCUCAAAACCAAGCCCUCUCCCAGGAUUCUUCUUAUUGCAACAUAUUUCUGCUAACAAGAUAAGACUUGCUGUAACAUCAGCCUGCCUACACGUCAUCCACUGCCUGCUUCCCAUCUGUUAGUCUUGAUAUUUCCUUAAUCUCUUUCUCUCACACAGCUCCAUGAAUAGUUCCCCUCUGUAGCACAGGGAGUGAAAUUGGAGAACGCAGCGUUGCUCUCUGGGAAAGGCAUAUAUUGCUUUGAAAUGAGAAGCUUAAAGGCCCAGGCAGGUUGGCUGUUCCCUGAGACAGCACAGAGAAACGCAAUGAGAAAAUGGAGGGAGAGCUGAGUUUGAAGUGUCUGCUCUUUAAUUAUAAAUGUUCUUCCUCCAAACAGCUUUUCUUAACAGCUGGUCAUCAAUUACGCAGAGUUACUGAGGUUUUCAGACAGGAGAUCAAUAAAUGGGAUUUUUUUUCUUGGCCAGGAGAAACCAUUACAUAAUGGCUGUGUUUCUUCCCUCUGCUUGCCAAGCUUUCAGGGGCUGGCAGGCGUUCAAGGCACUGAGGCUAUUCUUAGACAGGGGCACAGCACCAAGCUCAGCAGCAGCAGCACAGCGUGGUCUCCUCUGCCUGGAGCAUCCAGGGAGGGUCAAUAUGGGACAGGACACAUCAGCCACCCCACCCUGGGGACAGCACAGAGCUGCAUGUGGCUUUUGGAGGAUGUUUGUUAAUGAAUCAACAGCCUCAGUGCAGCAGCAUGUCCGAGAUGCUUUUAGAAACGUGUCAGAUCUAAAUAGAAACAGACCAGACAGUGACAGGGGAAGAUGGACAGGCUUGCAGAGCUAUCUUCUGCUUCACAGAGGAACCUGAGGAUGUGAGGCAGAAUAAAUAUACCUGUAGUGUAGCAACUUGAGACCUGUACACCUUUCCUGUCUGGUUUAUAUGUGUUAUUUGCAGUGAAAUCGGGCUAUCUGCACAAAAAAAAAAAAAAAAAAAAAAAAAAAAAAGGAGAGCUGCUUUUUCACAGCCUGCAACCUUUGCUGCGUGUUCCAUAUAAAUCAGGCUGCUGCUGUUUGCUCUAAAUGGAGGAUCUCAUCUGUGUCUUUGCAGAUGACCUGUCUCACACCGACAUGACACAUAAGCAUUUCCAGAGACAUUUCUGUGACCUGCUAUCAUGCCAUAAACCAUCUGGCUACCUCUAGAGUCGCAGAGCUUAAAAACGAGGCCACUCCCUUUGCAAUCUGUGGCUUACAAAUAAAAUAAAAUUCUGUGCAAGGGUUGUGCUGCCACAACCUCGGGUUGUCACGUGCCAGCCUGGAGCUGCAGCAGCGUGUUCCAGUCACAGCCAGCACUACACAAUGAAUUUGUCAGCUCCUCAUGGCACAAAGCUGCUGCAUGGGGUGGUGCACAUCUAUCAGCCCUUCUUAGGUGAGAGCGACCAAGGUAAGGCUCACUAGGUUAGGCUUGGUAGAAACAUAAACCUAAGAAAAAGCAUAUUUUCCCCUGCCAGGGGCUGAGCAGGAGAAAUGCACCUUUUCAACUUCUGGAGGUUGUCAGAAUCAAGCAAGGAGGGCAGGACCAGUGUGGGCUGAGAACCAGCCUGGAACCAGCUGUGUGAGUGUCCCUUGUGUGAGCAUCACCAGCGAGAUCCCUGCCAGGGUGGUCCUUGGAGGUGUUCAGCAAAGCAAUGCAAAACCAGAAAAACAAACCCCAAAUAUUUUCAUGGCCCAAAACCUAUGUGAGACUGCUCAAGCUGCCAGAAAGGCCUGGUGCUCUGGGGAGAAAUGAAAAGAUGUAUUUCAAAGCACAGCAAUAAAAGCACAUUACAGCACCUGAGCCAAAACGUGCUCUCAGUUCACCUUCCAGUGUAAGAUCCAGAACAAGGCUUGGCAGACAUCCACUUGUAUAAAGGUUUGGUCUCAGAAAGAAGGACUUCCAAAGCUGUUCCCAGUACAACAAGCUAGGGCACAAAGGCGUUUGUGGUGUUGGCUUUCCCCAAGCCCCCGGGGUCUUGCUGUGAUAGUUCCAGGCGUUACAUGGUUGCAGAUUUUCUUGUCUGACCCGUGAGCAAAGCAAGUAUAAUUCAGUCAUCUUCUAUCUGACAGCUCUUCUGUCUGCCUCUGCAGAUGAUUUCCCUUAAAAUAAGUAUGGCAUCUACUGCCAGGUAGGCAGUGAAUCCUGUUUGCAAGCAAGAUAACUAACAAAACCCCUUGAAGAAAACUAGCCAAAUGUUAAAAAUAGCCCCUCAAGCAAAGGCUUCACAAAGCAAGUGCACAUCACAAGAGCAGCAUUGGCCACUGUGAUAUCAUUUCCAAGAUUAAUUCAUGCUUAAUAAACAGCACAAUAAAGCCAAUUGAUAGCAAUUCUUUUCUCCAGGCCAAGUAAUGCUUAUUGCCUUUAUCCUAUCUGAUGCAUAUACAGAAGGGAACUUGCACCAGCCUUGCUAUGAAAAGGCAAAUUACACUUUAUAGGUGAGACUGAAGGAAUAGAUAGAAGUGUUUGCACAGGGAAAAACAAGUAACCUGAAGGGGUCCUGAGGUAAGAUCUGGUUUUCAGGAGGGUUCCAAAAAAUACAUUUUCCUAGAGGGGAAGAGCUACAUAGAUGCUGCCAGAUAUAGAUAGGGGUGGCAUCCCUCUGUUACCCAUGAGAGAGAAUCAGGCUGCAGCAAUUAAUCCAGGAUCUGGAGGGGUCCUGACAGCUCCUUAGACCCCUUUAGCACCAGCCCCACCACAGACCUGCACCCCUUUAGCCUGGCAGCAGAAUCACACAACCUGCAUACAAAUCUCACACUUCCCAGCCUGAGAGGCACUUGCAUUUUUCAGUCUGCUCUGGGUCACCCACAUUUGCUUUUUCCCUGAAGAAGGGAAAAAAUAAAUUAAUGAAACACCACAGCAUGCAAGACGCCCUCCCCCUCACCGCCUGGCUUCUCCUGUGAGGACUGCCAGUGCUUCACCUCCCAUUUGAUGUAAAUUCAGCACAAGACAGGGAGGCGCGGUAGUUUCUGUGGGCAGCAGAAAUGAAAGGGAAUGACAGAGGCAGAAAAAAAAAGAAAACAGAAAAAAAAAAGAAAGGAAAAAGAAAGCUCUUACAGCUCUUUGAUUGUGCUGGCUCUUUGUUUGAGGUAUACAGAAAAAAAAAAAAAAAAAAAAAAA